rnacentral:rRNA from 1 species
GGACGAACGCUGGCGGCGUGCCUAAUACAUGCACGUUGAGCGCUGAAGGUUGGUACUUGUACCAACUGGAUGAGCAGCGAACGGGUGAGUAACGCGUGGGGAAUCUGCCUUUGAGCGGGGGACAACAUUUGGAAACGAAUGCUAAUACCGCAUAAAAACUUUAAACACAAGUUUUAAGUUUGAAAGAUGCAAUUGCAUCACUCAAAGAUGAUCCCGCGUUGUAUUAGCUAGUUGGUGAGGUAAAGGCUCACCAAGGCGAUGAUACAUAGCCGACCUGAGAGGGUGAUCGGCCACAUUGGGACUGAGACACGGCCCAAACUCCUACGGGAGGCAGCAGUAGGGAAUCUUCGGCAAUGGACGAAAGUCUGACCGAGCAACGCCGCGUGAGUGAAGAAGGUUUUCGGAUCGUAAAACUCUGUUGGUAGAGAAGAACGUUGGUGAGAGUGGAAAGCUCAUCAAGUGACGGUAACUACACAGAAAGGGACGGCUAACUACGUG